GGGCGGUUAGCUCAGCUGGGAGAGCAUCGGCCUUACAAGCCGGGGGUCACUGGUUCAAGCCCAGUAUCGCCCACCA
rnacentral:tRNA from 1 species